CUCCUACGGGAGGCAGCAGUGGGGAAUCUUGGACAAUGGGCGAAAGCCUGAUCCAGCCAUGCCGCGUGUGUGAAGAAGGCCUUCGGGUUGUAAAGCACUUUCAGUGGUGAGGAAAGGGUAAUCGUUAAUAGCGGUUACAGUUGACGUUAGCCACAGAAGAAGCACCGGCUAACUCCGUGCCAGCAGCCGCGGUAAU
rnacentral:rRNA from 1 species